AAAGCGGCGACUGGUGAGUAACACGUGGAUAAUCUACCUUUAAGUUGGGGAUAAGCUUCCGAAAGGGGGUCUAAUACCGAAUAAUAUCGUUGGAUGGCCUCAUCCGACGAUCAAAGGCGGCGCAAGCUGUCGCUUAAAGAUGAGUCCGCGCUCCAUUAGCCAGUUGGCGGGGUAAGAGCCCACCAAAGCUACGAUGGAUAGCCGGCCUGAGAGGGUGUACGGCCACACUGGAACUGAG
rnacentral:rRNA from 1 species